UUAAUUAUAUGUUUGUGUUUGACAAGACCUUCGGUCUCGUGCCUACGUACCAACAUAAGAAUGAGGGAUCAAAACCUCGUAGUUCAUGGUAUCAAUUUCAAAAUGAGUGGAUUACUUUUAAUCAAAAUUUAAGUGUAAAAGAGGCACAAAGGGCCCAAAAGUUUGAAUGAGUGUUAGUUCUUUUUGUCUUUUGAAAUUUUAAGUCAAUAUGGUUAACUUCAUUUACAAGUUUUAUUUAUGAAAAGAGUUUAAAAAAAUGUAAUGGCAUAAGGCCAAAG
rnacentral:lncRNA from 1 species